UACGUAGGCAGCGAGCGUUGUUCGGAGUUACUGGGCGUAAAGAGUGCGUAGGCGGUUUCGUAAGUUUGGUGUGAAAUCUCCCGCUUAACUGGGAGGGUGCGCCGAAAACUGCGGGGCUUGAGAGUGGGAGAGGUAAGCGGGAAUUCCUGGUGUAGCGGUGAAAUGCGUAGAUAUCAGGAGGAACACCAGCGGUGUAGACGGCUUACUGGACCACGACUGACGCUGAGGCACGAAAGCGUGGGGAGCAAACAGG
rnacentral:rRNA from 1 species